UUUUAGACUGGCACUCCUAGA
rnacentral:miRNA from 1 species